CCGAGCUGCAGCCGUCUCCCUCGGGCUGCUGCCGGUGCUGCGGGCGGAGGCGGCUCCGCCGCGUGUUGGGCGCUGCGAGCAGGGAGCGCUGCGGUAUCGCCGGCAUGGCGGGGCUGCUGCCUGCGUUAGUGCCCGUGGCUCUUUGUGCCGUGACAGCGGAUGGAGCGGCGCUGGGCGGUAAAGCCAGAGAUGGCCGGGAGAAUGCCCAGCGCAGGGAGCGGGCGGGCUGUGUGCUUCGGAUGGCACAGGUGCGAGCUGCAAAGCCACCCCCCCUUCCGCCCCUGCCCUCCCGAGCCCCAGGGAAAAUGCUUUCCAGCAUUGUCGAGCUUCUGAAAGACAAAACUUGUGAUUUGACACUUGCAUCCAGAAAAGGUUUCUGUCUAGAUUAGCCUAAAUGCCUCAAUUGUUCUUGGUUACAUCCCAUGACCAGUUUCAGGCAGCGACUUUAUAAUGCUUUUAGGAUUUUCUUGUACAAUGGUGAGAAAAUAGGCAGGUCUGAUAGUGGUUUCACUUUUUUUUCUACUUCACGUUCCAUAAGAUUCUUUUAUGCAAGCACUUGUUUUAAAAUUCUACUGUAAGCGUUUAUGGUUCACUUUUUUUUUCUUUGCAGCACCCGUGACUUUUUUUUCCCUCUAAAUCGGGAGUAAAUAUAGCUGAGUAAAAUUACCUUGAUUUUCUUCCUUCUUUUUUAACUGAAUUGUUUUUAUUAAAAAUCCUAUUUGAAUAUGUAGAAAAAGCGGGGAUGUCUUGUAAUAUAUCGUAGCUUUUCUUGUUUACAGGAUACUCAGAAAAUAUGUCUCCCUUAGAGUCCCACAGAAACGUUCUCAGUGCGAUCUCUAUCAAGUGCUAUGAGUCUUGAUCAAUUGGAGAAGAGCCCAAGAGAAAUUUUUCAUCCCUUGAUAUAAAAGGGAUCGGUGAAUUUUAACUUUGGAGUCCCCUAUGCUAAGGAUGCUCAGCUUACAGGUGAUGAAAUGUUCAGUAAUGUAUUUGCUGCAGCUCUGCUUACCCAAGCUUUGGGUUCCUUCUGUCCCACUGGGAGUUGCCCAAUUUGGUUGCAUCUGGUGAAAUUCACCCUGAGACCUUACAGAAGCAGCUCCAACUACGUGAGAGCCAUUUGCAGUUCUCUCCAGACGCCUGGAGAAUGGGCGACGUUUCUGAGGAUCCGGCGAGCGUGCUUCUGUCAAAACUCAGUCUGUGAAAUUCCUGGGGAAAACCCUUCUGUGUCCUGAGGGGUUCAAACUCUGGUGAGGAUCCAGUUAUCAGGUGCUCACCUGGAUGGUUCCGGCUCCCAAAGGUAACACUUGUACUCUUGCCCUGUAGUUUACAUCUAUUGUAUUUUUGUUAUUUUGCAAGAUUUUUUGUCUUUGCAAAAUAUUGUGCAUUUCACUCUUUGGAACCUCUCAGAUGGUUCUUUGGUGCAGCACCACCCCAGGGGACACUUGGCUGCUGUCCUGAAGGGGUUGGUGGCUAGAAUUGUAAAUCCUGGAGAGUUUGUGAGUCUUCUGUCCCCAGGGAGGUGUCGUGCUUUGUUUACUUUUGUUCUGUUGGUUAGGCGCUGCUUCUCGUUGCAAGUAUGAAUUUCAAACUGCCCUGUUCUUAUUUUAGCUGUUUUCCUGGUUCUCUCCCUACGGCAGGGAAAGACUCUCGUGUCCUUGUCGUCGGGCUCAGUGCUGUCCAAGAAGAUACGGGGACUAAAAAAAUCAUAAGAAGCAAAAUAGGACUGCAGGGAAAAGAAGCUGGAGAGAACAGAAGACUCAUCACGGCGGGACAGCGUGAAGACUGAAAGUGUAAGAAGAUGUGGAGGGAAAGAGAGAAUCUGACAGGAGCAUCGGACGGACGAGUGCACGAAUUUUGCUUUUUUGCUUGGAUGUAAACUCAGGCGUUGAAAGGAAUUUGGGAGUGAGAAGGGACAUUUCAGAAGGAGAAGAAGCAAAAGAAGUUGUUGUUGUUGUUACAGUCCUGGCAAAAUCUUUUGUUCUAGCUAAUAAAAGAAGUUAGU